rnacentral:tRNA from 1 species
GCGGGCGUAGCUCAGUUGGUGGAGCAGUGGGUUUCCAACCCAAAGGUCGCCGGUUCGAGCCCGGCCGCCCGCU